rnacentral:rRNA from 1 species
UACACUCCUACGGGAGGCAGCAGUGGGGAAUUUUGGACAAUGGGCGAAAGCCUGAUCCAGCAAUGCCGCGUGAGUGAAGAAGGCCUUCGGGUUGUAAAGCUCUUUUGUCAGGGAAGAAACGGUGAGAGCUAAUAUCUUUUGCUAAUGACGGUACCUGAAGAAUAAGCACCGGCUAACUACGUGCCAGCAGCCGCGGUAAUACGUAGGGUGCAAGCGUUAAUCGGAAUUACUGGGCGUAAAGCGUGCGCAGGCGGUUUUGUAAGUCUGAUGUGAAAUCCCCGGGCUCAACCUGGGAAUUGCAUUGGAGACUGCAAGGCUAGAAUCUGGCAGAGGGGGGUAGAAUUCCACGUGUAGCAGUGAAAUGCGUAGAUAUGUGGAGGAACACCGAUGGCGAAGGCAGCCCCCUGGGUCAAGAUUGACGCUCAUGCACGAAAGCGUGGGGAGCAAACAGGAUUAGAUACCCGUGUAGUCCCAUG